rnacentral:sRNA from 1 species
UUCGACUAAGGUUCGAUUCGAGCGAAAGCGAGAAAGCGUUGCCGCAGGCAACGACCCGAAGGGCGAAGGGCGAAGGGCGCAGCGCUGAGUCAUCCUUCCCCCACCACCA